UUACAAGAAAAAUGAGGUAUGCAAAUAUACUAAAAUUAGAAUGAUACAGAGUAGAUUAGCAUAGCCCCUGGGCAAGAAUGACUCGCAAAUUCGUAAAGCAUUGCAUAUUAAA